rnacentral:tmRNA from 1 species
GCAGAUAAUUUUGAGUACGCUCUAGCUGCUUAAGCGCAGUUAGCGUCUUACCGGUUUUCUCCCACGGGAUCGGAUAAGGCGUCAAUUAGUGGGAUGGGCUGAUUCUCCUGCCGGAGGAGAUGAGGCCGAGAUUUAAACCGGCUGGUUCCUGAAAAGCCUGCCGCUGGGCGCUUCAGGGACGAGAUUAAAUCAGCGGCUAAGCAUGUAGUUCUGCUUGGUGUAACGCUUUCGGACGGGGGUUCGAUUCCCCCCGCCUCCACCA